rnacentral:rRNA from 1 species
AGUAACGCGUGGGUAACCUGCCUUGUACUGGGGGACGAACAGUUGGAAACGACUGCUAAUACCGCAUAAGCGCACAGCUUCGCAUGAAGCAGUGUGAAAAACUCCGGUGGUACAAGAUGGACCCGCGUCUGAUUAGCUGGUUGGUGAGGUAACGGCCCACCAAGGCGACGAUCAGUAGCCGGCCUGAGAGGGUGAGCGGCCACAUUGGGACUGAGACACGGCCCAA